rnacentral:rRNA from 1 species
AACGAACGCUGGCGGCAUGCCUAACACAUGCAAGUCGAACGAACCCUUCGGGGUUAGUGGCGCACGGGUGCGUAACGCGUGGGAAUCUGCCCUUGGCUUCGGAAUAACAGUUAGAAAUGACUGCUAAUACCGGAUGAUGUCGCAAGACCAAAGAUUUAUCGGCCAGGGAUGAGCCCGCGUAGGAUUAGGUAGUUGGUGGGGUAAAGGCCUACCAAGCCGACGAUCCUUAGCUGGUCUGAGAGGAUGAUCAGCCACACUGGGACUGAGACACGGCCCAGACUCCUACGGGAGGCAGCAGUGGGGAAGAUUGGACAAUGGGGGCAACCCUGAUCCAGCAAUGCCGCGUGAGUGAUGAAGGCCGUAGGGUUGUAAAGCUCUUUUACCCGGGAUGAUAAUGACAGUACCGGGAGAAUAAGCUCCGGCUAGCUCCGUGCCAGCAGCCGCCGUAAUAC